rnacentral:misc_RNA from 1 species
UCCUGGCGCAGCUUGGAGAACCUGACAUGCGUACGCCUAUUGCGCAUACGAUGGCAUGGCCGAAUCGCGUCACGUCCGGCGCGCAGCCGCUUGAUUUUUGCAAACUCAGCGCGCUGACGUUUAGCGCGCCAGAUUAUCAGCGUUAUCCGUGCCUGAAGCUGGCGAUGGAGGCGUUUGAGCAAGGUCAGGCGGCAACGACGGCGCUCAAUGCGGCAAACGAAAUCACCGUUGCCGCGUUUCUGGCGCAACAGAUUCGUUUUACCGAUAUCGCCGGGCUCAAUUUAGCGGUGCUGGAGAGGAUGGAUUUACAGGAACCGGCAAGCGUUGAGGACGUAUUGCAGGUUGACGCCAUCGCGCGUGAAGUAGCCAGAAAACAAGUGAUACGGCUCUCACGC